CCUACGGGAGGCAGCAGUGAGGAAUAUUGGUCAAUGGGCGGAAGCCUGAACCAGCCAAGUAGCGUGCAGGAUGACGGCCCUACGGGUUGUAAACUGCUUUUAUACGGGAAUAACGCGCCUUACGUGUAGGGCUUUGCAUGUACCGUAUGAAAAAGGCCCGGCUAAUUCCGUGCCAGCAGCCGCGGUAAUACGGAAGGUCCGGGCGGUAUCCGGAUUUAUUGGGGUUAAAGGGAGCGUAGGCCGCAUGUCAAGCGUGCUGGGAAAUGUACGGGCUCAACCCGGGCCUUGCAGCGCAAACUGGCGUGCUUGAGUCCGCGAGAAGCAGGCGGAAUUCGUGGUGUAGCGGUGAAAUGCUUAGAUAUGACGAAGAACCCCGAUGGCGAAGGCAGCUUGCUGCAGCGGAACUGACGCUGAGGCUCGAAAGCGCGGGUAUCGAACAGGAUUAGAUACCCUUGUAGUC
rnacentral:rRNA from 1 species